rnacentral:rRNA from 1 species
AGUGAACGCUGGCGGUAGGCCUAACACAUGCAAGUCGAACGGCAGCACAGUAAGGGCUUGCUCUUACGGGUGGCGAGUGGCGGACGGGAGAGGAAUACAUCGGAAUCUACUUUUUCGUGGGGGAUAACGUAGGGAAACUUACGCUAAUACCGCAUACGACCUACGGGUGAAAGCAGGGGAUCUUCGGACCUUGCGCGAUUGAAUGAGCCGAUGUCGGAUUAGCUAGUUGGCGGGGUAAAGGCCCACCAAGGCGACGAUCCGUAGCUGGUCUGAGAGGAUGAUCGGCCACACUGGAACUGAGACACGGUCCAGACUCCUACGGGAGGCAGCAGUGGGGAAUAUUGGACAAUGGGCGCAAGCCUGAUCCAGCCAUACCGCGUGGGUGAAGAAGGCCUUCGGGUUGUAAAGCCCUUUUGUUGGGAAAGAAAAGCAGCAGGUUAAUACCCCGCUGUUCUGACGGUACCCAAAGAAUAAGCACCGGCUAACUUCGUG